rnacentral:lncRNA from 1 species
CAGGGGUGGUGCAGCACGGUAGCAUGAUAUACCCUGGCUGCAAAAGGCUUGCUGCCCAGUCCAAGGCCAGCAGUGUUGUGUCUGGCCUGUAAGAGGCAGGUAGCAAGCCAUGAAUAUGUCCAAAGGCCCUCGAAUGCCAUUCCUGGGCCUUGUAAGAGGCACUUGCUUUGCUCCAUUUCACUUUCUUUCCAUUCUGCUUUUUAGUUUGUUUUUGUUUUGGAUUCUUUUAACAGUUAAGUGUUCUUCUGUCUCAUUCCAUUAAGCUUAACCAUGUCAGAUAUAAUAGAGAAAUAUUUUCACAGGCUCUUAAAUGAUUAAACUAAUAUUUCUCAAAAGUACUCACUUGGAAUUGGAAAAAAUGAUCCUUUGAAACUGAGAAAAGGUAUUUAAAGGCAGUUUCUAUCUGAGAGCUUUGUUCAUUCAGUAUAUUUGGCCAGUAAUCUUUAUCAAGUUGAUGUUAAAAUGUCUAUUUUUGCUUCUUCUGAAGCAUAUAUACUUCUUAUCUCUGAGGAUGUAGAACAUUAAUUACUUAUAUUCACAUGUUCCUAAGCAACAUGUAUUUAUAAAUUGAUACACUCCUAAAAUUUAUGUGGAUGUAUGAUUUCCCUGGCUUUGAAGAUGCUCUAGGCCUUCCUCGUAUUUGCCCUUAAACUGAACCCUUGAGUUCCCAAAGUUUAGGCUUUCUUUGUUUGUCUUUGAAACUACAUCUUCUGUCUCUUGUCAUCAUAUCUGCUUAUUGCGUGUUUUUCAUACUUUCCACCUCUCUUAAGAGCUGUUACCUGAGCCCUUGUUAUCACUUUUGAUUGUGCUGCACUUAGCUGCAUUUCUAAGUUUCUGAUUCUUGCAAGUUUUGUGGAAACACAGGAGUCUUUAACCCACAUCAGCCUUGAUCUAAACGUACCACUUUACUUAAAAGUUCGUGGGAUCUGGAGCUCCUGGUCUAGCAAGCCAUGAAAAUGCCAAUAAAUGUUUUGUAAUAAAGCUUUUAUUUAAACAUCCAUUUUGUUCGACCUUGAAGCUUUACUAAUAUGCUGAAGAACAAACAGCCGAUGCCAGUGAAUAUUCGAGCUUCGAUGCAGCAACAACAGCAGCUAGCCAGUGCCAGAAACAGAAGACUGGCCCAGCAGAUGGAGAAUAGACCCUCUGUCCAGGCAGCAUUAAAACUUAAGCAGGUGAGAGAAUGUGUCUUAAUGCUCUGAAGCAGCUGGUGGUCUGUGUCAGUCCGCUGAGUGCCAUGGAUGAUGACAGAGGCUCAGGGCCAAACCUGAAGCUUCUAUGAAAGGGAAGUUCAGAGAAUUCCAAUUUUGGCAGGUACUGAUAAAUAAUGUUUUAUUAUUUCUGUUUUAGGGAGUUUGCCAUCUGUGUGGCCUGUUUGUGUUAUCAGUGACUAUUAAUCUCUUACGUUUGGUCCUUUACCCUAAAAGUGGAUUUAAUGGAUUUUUUUUGAUACAAAGAACCUUUGUUUCAGGUUGGGGUAUAGCUCAAAAGAAGAGCACUUGCCUACCAUGUGCAAGGCCAUGGAUUUGAUCCCCAGCACUGCCCAAAAAAAGAGAAGGAAAGAAACUAUUUGUGUUUAGAUGAUCUUCAAAAUAUCCUUUACUUCCUGUUAAGUGAUCUAUAUCCUAGGGAAAUAAUUUUAUUCUUCCCUAUACAGGGAAUUUGGCCUUAGUCAAAAGUUUUCAGUGCUAAAAUAUACAAAAAGUAUAGUGACUUUUGUUUCCACAGCACCUGAAGUUUUAUCAGUACAUUAGAGCAAGAGUUCUGAGUAGCUAACUUAAGAAUUAGUGAGGUUCUCUUUCAAAUUUCCAGUAAGAGAUAAAUCUAUUCAGACCUGAAAUAAAACCUGCUCUUUAUUAUUCAUAGACUUUAUAUGCAAGUCCGGACAUUGGCUGUGGAAGGAUAUGUCCAAGCUGUGGCUGGGCGUCCGGAGGGCGAUGCCAUGCAACUGUAAGGACUUUAACUGGUAGCACUGCAUGGCUGUGCAUAAAUUCAGCAGUUAAAUAUAACACCCUCCCACCCUUAUUCUGAACCACUGGCUCACUGACCAAAAAUAAACAAGGCUUUCUGCUUCAGUUACCUUAAGCCUUGUAGGACUGGAUCCAUCUCUGACUCGGGAAAGCCAGAAGCAAAAGGCACCAACAAAGGACCUUUCAGCAUGAAGCUUUCAGUAUAGGCUGUGCGAGAAGUAACCUCCAGAGCAACACUGUCAGACGCUUCUGUGAUGAUGGAAAUGCUCUGCGCUGUCCAGUACAGUAACCACUAGCCACAUACGGCUAUUCAGAACUUUAAAUGUAGCUAGUGCUGUGGAGGAGCUUCAAUAGCCACAUGUGUCCAGUGGCUGUCUCAAAUAGCAGCUUUAGAGUGGAAACCAGUGGUAUAGUGGACAUCCUUAAGUGUCCUAUCAAUGUUAGAAGCCAAGAUUGGUAGCAGCUAGGGAUGGGGAUAGGAGGAGAACUCUAGGCACUGUGUAGUUCUUCAUUGAAGCAUAGAACUCGGGAGAAUCGAUAUAUUCAGGAAAACUGAACAUAAGGCACUUACAGAAUAUAGUCUUGACCUCAUGAUUGUGUGCUGGGGCUCUGAGUGUAGCUCAGUGGUAGAGCAUGCGUAAGGGUAUGGAUUUGACCCCUAGCACUACAAAAACAAAAUAAUUGUGUGCUAAGUAGAAGAGUGAGGACAGUCCCUUAAAGUUGGUUGCACCUCCUGUGCUAGAUGUCUUUCUCUACUGAUCAGAAGCGGCUUGUUAUCUUUAUCUUGUGCCUAGGAAGUUAUGCCUCACAGCACAAGAGGGCUACUAUUGGCCAGAGGGGGACAAGUUAUUUGUGGGUUGAACCUGAGUGUGCAUAAACUUCAUUUACAUUCAUGUUGUAGAAAAAUAGGCCUUGGUUGUGUGUUCAAAGCUACAUUGAUGAAAUUUCUUUUGAAGAAUUUUUUAAGAUGUGAUCCUCAAGGAUUUAUUUUUUUGAGAACAGAUUAUUGAAAAUGUAUCUCUGUAGUAUGUCCUUGUCCUCAUAUGUGCCCCUUUGUGGUUAAAGUUCACCUGUGUUAAUUCUAACAGUUUGGCUGGCUCUCUGGAGAUAUAUUUUUGUUUAUUUUGAAUUAAAAGUUAUAAUAUUGGCUUAAGGGAGCUGUUUGCAAGUGUAGAUAUGGAAUUAUGGAUUUCUAAGAAAUUUAAGGAAAGGAAGUUUGACUCUUGUGUUUAUUUGCAUCUUAAGGUAAAAAGUGGACCGUCUGGAGAUAGAUACUCAAAGGAAAAAUGGAGCACACUGGCCUCUUUGACUGAAAAAUCAAUCUUGUUCUUAAGUCAAAAGAAUUCAAAUGAACUUGUAAUUUAAAUUGUGCCCAGAGUGUGGUGAACUUCCUGUGGUGUUUGAGUAAGCCUUUGAAGACAGUAGUAGUUCCUGGGCAGGUAUGAAUUAAGUCAUGUCAUUGUCAACCUGGGGUUCAGAAACAGCAAGUGUUCUUAUUAAAACCUAAGUUCCAGCUGAUGGUAUAUGACUUCUAUAGCCAAAUCAGUGAGGUGAUUUGUGGUGAUGCCAAUUUCAUGGGGUCAUACUGAAGCUUCUUAGAGUUUAUGCUCUGGAAUUCUUUUAUAGCAUGUUCUGAGAACAAAGGUUUCUGAUUUGGGAUCCUUAAUGAUACCCACAGCAGGUUAUUUCCCGCCAUCUCACUUGCUUCCUUUUCUCUGCACUUAGAAUUGCCACCUCUCACUGAAUUGCUUUUUUGAUCUCAAUCCUCCAACACCUUUUCUUCCAGAAGAGCUUAAAGCAGCGCCUGGGUAAGAGUAACAUCCAGGCACGGUUAGGCCGACCCAUAGGGGCCCUGGCCAGGGGAGCAAUUGGAGGACGAGGUCUGCCCAUAAUCCAGAGAGGCUUAUCCAGAGGAGGACUACGUGGGGGACGUGCCACCAGAACCCUGCUUAGGGGCGGGAUGUCGCUCCGAGGUCAGUGCUUUGUGUACCUGAUAACUGUUGGGCCCUGUCCCCUUUCCUUUUCUCUUGGGCUGCUUAUGGACACAUUUGUUUAACAUCUUUAAUACUAAAUUUGUAUUAAUAUAAUUAAUAACUUUUGAAAUCACAUUUUUAGUAGUGCUGCAUGCCUUUUAUUGAUACCAUUCCUUUUCUGGUAAUGUGCAAUGGUGAGAGGCUAUGACCUGCAUAACAGGUAAUUCAUGUCAUCUCCAUUUCAUUUUAAAGCACCCUGCUGCUGCUUGAAUCAAAGCACAUUCAAGUUGUAGAAAUAAGUCAAGUUUAAGAAAUGUAUGUUAGCAUAUAUAUGAGGCCAUGGGUUCAAUCCCCAGCACCAAAAAAAUAAAGAAAUGUAUGGGUCUUCGGCCUAUAUCAAAACUAAACAUGUCUGUUCCUGGUGCUAGCACAACACUGUUAAUCAUCUGAAAGAAAGAGAGGAAAAGUUGACCAAUAGUACUUAACCUAUAUCUUGUAAUUUGGGCACUGCUAUUCUAUUCCCUGUAUAGUUUUUAAAUUUGUUAAAAGUAUGUACUUAAUUAACUCCCAACUUCCCAAGAUGGAUUUGUGGUCAGAAAUGUUGAACUGAUACAAAUAAUGAGCAACUUAAUCUGGUCACACUCUCAAGUGUGCAGCUUGCCCUACCCAGCUUACGAACUAACUGAAUUACUUUAAUUUAACCCUCACCGCCUUCCUUUGGUUAGAAUCUACUUUUGUUUCUCUUGGAUUUACCUGCAUAUACAUUGUAUGCCUCCUCUCCAAGGUCAAAACCUGCUCCGAGGUGGACGAGCCGUAGCUCCCCGAAUGGGCUUAAGAAGAGGUGGUGUUCGAGGUCGUGGAGGUCCUGGGAGAGGGGGCCUAGGGCGUGGAGCUAUGGGUCGUGGCGGAAUCGGUGGUAGAGGUUAGUCAGCUACCAACUUCAGAGAGUAGCUCCCCCUAUUUCCUUCCUUUAAAAACUCAGAGCCACCUUUCUGCACAGCUUCAAGUCACAGGCAGGCUUGUUUGUUUGUCUUGUUUUGUUUUUUGAAACUGGCUUAUUUCCUAAAUUCACAUGCUGGUAGAUUGAAAGUCUGUCAUAAUUUUUCUAAGAGCCAGUCAGGUACAUAUUACAGAACCAGAUAUUAUGCAGUGUUCCCCUAGGUUCUUACAGAUUUAAAUUUUAAAAAUUUUAAAUAACAAAGUGGUUAGUUUGGAAUUUUGUCUUUUACUAUUUCUGCCCCAUCACUACCACAUGCCCAUCUUCUAGCUUAAAACCUCACAUUAACUCAGAUAAGAAUAGAGGAGGCAUCGCUUCUCGGCCUUUUGGCUAAGAUCAAGUGAUGAAGAAUAGAGGAGGCAGCCUGGGGGUAUGGCCCCUGGCUUCAAUCCCCACUACCCUACACAAACACAAAAAAUGUGAACAGAAAGAAGGUAGUAAGAGGCUGGGAAUAUAGGUCAGUGGUAGAGCUCAUGCUUAGCACCAUGAGGCCCUGGGUUCCAUCCCCAGCAUGGGGAGUGAAAGUCAAAGAGGGUGGGACUUGGCGCUGAGCAGUGGCUCUGAAAUAAGUGAAGUUUCUGCUUAUGGGGAACCAGAGAGGUUUUUCUGAUAAAGGUAGGAAAUUAAAUGAUAUUACUGUCAGUUAACUAACUGGCUUUUGCUGAUAAUCUUACCUUUGAGGUCUUGAUAUUUGUCUUUUGAUCUCAUAACCCAUAUUGGGGGGGAUUGGUGGUGGUGUUUUUGCCAAAUCUCAUGGGGGCUUUCUGACUUAGAAUUUAGUGAGAAACUCCCACCACUGUCUGUUCAAGCGGAACAGCCCCUGUGUGUAUUUGCUUCAUUCCUUUAAAGUGUGUUGUGGGUCUUCACAAUUUAUAACCCGGACAUUGCCAAAGAAGAUAUUAACUGGGAAAGGGCAUUAGAUGGCCAAGGGCUAUUUUUUUCUCUUUCAUUAUAUACUAUGUGGGUUUUUUGUUGUUGUUUUUUGUUUGUUUUUUUUUUUUUUUUUUUAGUGAAAUGCAAGGUAGUUUGGUUUCAGGAUGAAAUAGGUUGUUUUCAAAUUAUCUCAACUUGAUUUUUGAGAGAUCACAUGGGUAGGAAGAUUAAAAUGACUCUUCAGAAAGCUGGGUGUAUUUUGUUAAGUGAAUUGAAACUACCUCUCAGAUAACCACCUUGUCGUGAGGUGCCUAGAAUCAGAGAUAAAGAGGCUGGUACUCAGCAUGUUUUUCUAAUCACAUUGUCUGUGUCAAAGAGAAACCCUCAAUAAACUGACACAUGGAGUCAGUUCAUUAGCCUUAAUAAAAUUAAGGAGAGAACUUUCCAGAGGGUAUCAAUUAAAGCUUAAUUUGAAUGUCUGCCUUCGCAUCCCUGAUUCUCUGUGCCCUUUUUACUACCUCCCUGUUACUAAAUUCAAUUAUCUAUUAUGUAUUUUAAUUAUGAAUUUAGAGGGGGGUCUCAAACAUUAGGGAAUUUCUUUCUUAGAAGAGAUAAUCUGUUUAUUAGCCGAUUAUUUUCCAUUUGUUGAUUUAAAAAAUUUUAGAUAGUAUUUAGAGAGGAGCAUGUAAUAAGGGAUUCAUUAUAUGUGCUUUCCAUGUGUUGCUUUCUAUCCAGUGUGUUUCUUGUUUCUCCAGAUUUCUCCUCCUCUCUGCCCUGCCCUUCAGCUUUCUCAGCUAGGCCCCACUGCUCUAAGGGGCAUUUACAUAGCUCCCAUUAAACCUACUUGUAACUGUCUUUUUUUCUUCCCCUCCUUGGGCCAGGUCGGGGCAUGAUAGGUCGGGGAAGAGGGGGCUUUGGAGGCCGAGGCCGAGGCCGUGGAAGGGGAAGAGGUGCCCUCACUCGCCCUGUAUUGACCAAGGAGCAGCUGGACAACCAGUUGGAUGCGUACAUGUCGAAAACUAAAGGACACCUGGAUGCCGAGUUGGAUGCCUACAUGGCACAGACAGAUCCAGAAACCAACGAUUGAAGCCUGCCUGCCUGUCCUUCUGUGAGAGACUCUUGUUAAGUCACCACAUCUGUAAAUAACCUUGAGAUAACAGAUGAGAAGAAACUGAUUGAUGCUGGAAGGACCUAUCUCAAUAGGCUGUGGACUCACCUGUCACCAGUUUGUGCAUUUAGUGUGUUCCUUUUACUUUUUGAUACUGUGUUGUAUGAAACUCUUUUUUUCCUUUGAUUUAGUUGGGGUUUUUUUGUUUUUUUUGUUUUCCUCUUCCCUUCACCCAGACUUUGAAGAUGAAUGUGUUGGCCUUGUGGGUAGAACACUUUGCCUACCUCUGCCUCCCUUCACCUAUAUCAUACACUGACAUUCUCUGUGCCCCCACAAAAAGUUCCAGAAAGAGCCAGUUUUCCUCCUUGAUGCCUUGGUUUCUGAGAUAGAAUUCUGUUGUACAUCCUAUUUAAUAGCCUCUUAGAAGUGUUAAGAAAAUCUGGAGCUGAAAAAUAACGUUUUGCUGCAUUGUUAAUGAUGUAGUAAAUUGGGAACAUUGACAUUGCUAUAGGGACACAUAACAGGUUACCAUGGUAUCUGCUUUGACUGAAGUUGCUACCAGGUGCAUGGAUACCACAUCAUUGAUGACCAGCAUGCUGGAUUGGAUACGUGUAUUUUCUACCCUCAGAUGAGAUUUUUGAGCUUGCCUCUUGGUGGCUUUGUAUCAUAUCCAGAGGGAUGGGCUGCCUUACACCUGCAAUCGAGAGGAAGAAGCCCUUUGGUUUGACUCACACAGCACAGGGAGAGGAAUGGGGCAGUAGGGAGACCACCACUGGAAAGGAUCAGGAGCUGCCCGUGCCAGAAUGCAGUUAUCAUGUUUGUCCCAGGCCACUGUUGGGCUUCUCCAUUGUUGGCUUUAUUUGAUCCUCCUCUUUCUCUUGAAGGUUUAAGUUCAACCAUAUUCUGUCAACUGUUCCCAGUUUCAGUGGAAUCUUGUAUUUCUGGUUCAUUAUAACAAAUUGUUCUCUCAAAUCCAACCAGGACUCUCUCUCUCUUUGUUGGGCUCCUGAGGUGCUGUAGCUCUUUUAAUGUUAUCUUAAUGUACCCCUUGUGUAGUUGAGAAUCG